CCUACGGGCGGCAGCAGUAGGGAAUAUUGCUCAAUGGGGGAAACCCUGAAGCAGCAACGCCGCGUGGAGGAUGAAGGUUUUCGGAUUGUAAACUCCUUUUGUUAGAGAUGAUAAUGACGGUAUCUAACGAAUAAGCACCGGCUAACUCCGUGCCAGCAGCCGCGGUAAUACGGAGGGUGCAAGCGUUACUCGGAAUCACUGGGCGUAAAGAGCGCGUAGGCGGGAUAGCAAGUCAGAUGUGAAAUCCUAGGGCUUAACCAUAGAACUGCAUUUGAAACUGUUAUUCUAGAGUAUGGGAGAGGUAGGUGGAAUUCUUGGUGUAGGGGUAAAAUCCGUAGAGAUCAAGAGGAAUACUCAUUGCGAAGGCGACCUGCUAGAACAUAACUGACGCUGAUGCGCGAAAGCGUGGGGAGCAAACAGGAUUAGAUACCCGUGUAGUC
rnacentral:rRNA from 1 species